rnacentral:rRNA from 1 species
CGAACNUGNGCGGCAGGCUUAACACAUGCAAGUCGAGCGGGCCCUUCGGGGUCAGCGGCGGACGGGUGAGUAACGCGUGGGAACGUGCCUUCUGGUUCGGAAUAACCCUGGGAAACUAGGGCUAAUACCGGAUACGCCCUUAUGGGGAAAGGUUUACUGCCGGAAGAUCGGCCCGCGUCUGAUUAGCUAGUUGGUGGGGUAACGGCCUACCAAGGCGACGAUCAGUAGCUGGUCUGAGAGGAUGAUCAGCCACACUGGGACUGAGACACGGCCCAGACUCCUACGGGAGGCAGCAGUGGGGAAUAUUGGACAAUGGGCGCAACUGNAUCCAGCCAUGCCGCGUGAGUGAUGAAGGCCUUAGGGUUGUAAAGCUCUUUUAUCCGGGACGAUAAUGACGGUACCGGAGGAAUAAGCCCCGGCUAACUUCGUGCCAGCAGCCGCGGUAAUACGAAGGGGCUAGCGUUGCUCGGAAUCACUGGGCGUAAAGGGCGCGUAGGCGGCGUUUUAAGUCGGGGGUGAAAGCCUGUG